GGCAGACGGGUGAGUAAUGCAUAGGAAUCUACCUAGUAGUAUGGGAUAGCCACUAGAAAUGGUGGGUAAUACUGUAUAAUCCCUGCGGGGGAAAGAUUUAUCGCUAUUAGAUGAGCCUAUGUUAGAUUAGCUAGUUGGUAGGGUAAAGGCCUACCAAGGCAGUGAUCUAUAGCUGGUCUGAGAGGAUGAUCAGCCACACUGGAACUGAGAUACGGUCCAGACUCCUACGGGAGGCAGCAGUGGGGAAUAUUGGACAAUGGGCGCAAGCCUGAUCCAGCUAUGCCGCGUGAGUGAGGAAGGCCUUAGGGUUGUAAAACUCUUUCAGUGGGGAAGAUAAUGACGGUACCCACAGAAGAAGUCCCGGCAAACUCCGUGCCAGCAGCCGCGGUAAUACGGAGGGGGCAAGCGUUGUUCGGAAUUAUUGGGCGUAAAGGGCAUGUAGGCGGUUCGG
rnacentral:rRNA from 1 species